rnacentral:rRNA from 1 species
UACGGGGGGGCAAGCGUUGUUCGGAAUUACUGGGCGUAAAGGGCGCGUAGGCGGCCCGCUAAGUCGAACGUGAAAUCCCCGAGCUCAACUCGGGAACUGCGUCCGAUACUGGUGGGCUUGAAUCCGGGAGAGGGAUGCGGAAUUCCAGGUGUAGCGGUGAAAUGCGUAGAUAUCUGGAGGAACACCGGUGGCGAAGGCGGCAUCCUGGACCGGCAUUGACGCUGAGACGCGAAAGCGUGGGGAGCGAACAGG